UUUUUUUUUAUUUCUGUUCCCCACCACCUUCCAUCUUCUCAAAUCGUGAAUGCCAUUUUCCUAAUAAAAGAUUACUUUAAAGGCUGAUGUUCUGCAUAUAUACUCCUAAAUUAUUUUUACUUUUAUUGUUGUAUUCCCUAAUCAGGCAUUGACAUUUGGUUUUUUGUAACUCCAAGGACAAUCAAAUUGCCUCUUUGGUAUGAAUAUAUAUACCCACACUGCUUGGUGCUGGAACAGCAUUCUCCCAACCCAGAAAUAGAGCCCUGAAGGAGGAAAUAGUCACAGGGAAGAGUGUGAGCAAAAGAAUCAAGGAAACGCAUCUUUACAAUCUCCUGAGGACAUUCCCAAGCUCUACCCUUUCUUCCUGGUGGCCAGAUUAUUUUGGCUUUUAUUUUAAGAUGGGAGAGGUCCCAUUGUUCUGGCUAAUGGAUAGACAGUCUAUGCAUAUUUUCCCCUUUAAUGGAAGUAAAAUGAAAAUCAGAAAGCUCUUAUGCCAUUCUUAAGUACAAUUUUUCAGGUAUCCACUUAAAACAUUCACAUGACACCAAAUUACAAGGCAUUUCUUUUUUAUCUCUGGUAAUCAAGCGAAGUUUGUUUGUACUUGAAUGUUUACAAUUUAAAACACUCAAGGAAUAUGAGAGAGCACAAGUAACGUAUGAAUAGGGAAUGGCGCCUAUGAGACUGACAAUGAACAUUCUCUUUGCUUGCUCACAGGAAGCUAUUAGAUUGUUGCUGCUGUGGGUUGAAUUCUGUUCUCUCCUUCUACCCUCCCUGUCAAAUUCAUAUAUUGAAGUCCUAACCCCCAGCUGCUCAGGAUGAAAUCUCAUUUGGAGACAGAGGUAUUUACAGAGGUAAUCAAAUUAAAAUGAGGGGCGGGUGUGAUGGCUCAUGCCUGUAAUCCCAGCUCUUAGGGAGGCAGAGGUGGGAGAAUAGCUUGAGCCCAGGCAGGUCAAAUGAGGUCCUUAGGGAAGACCCUAAUCUAAUAUCACUGAUAUCCUUACAAAAAGGGGAAGUCUGGAAACAGAGAGCUACAGGGAGAAUGCCAUGUGACCAUGAAGAUGGCCAUCUACAAGCCAUAGAGGGAGGCCUGGAACAUAUCCUGCCUUCGCAGCCCUCAGAAAGAACCAGCCCUACUAACACCUUGAUUCCAGACUUCUAGACUGCAGAACUGGAGUCACCUAAGUGGCAAGUGCAGAAAGGAAGAAGUCCUGGAAGAAGGAAGUGGAGUGGACACUUGCUGAAAGAAAUCUUAACUCUAGUAUCUUCCCAGUGCAGUUCCUAUUUUGGGUUUCAACUCCCCCAGAGGAGUCCUUUUAGUGCAGCUCCUGACUGCCCGAUUCCACCGGACUUCUCUCAGUAGACAGACUGAAGGGCAGAUCAAAGGCUAGAGCCUGCGCUCUGCCACGCCCUUGCUUCUGCCCAGAAGGGAGCCUUCUUCUCAUCACCUCUUGAAGAGCCACCUUUGCUCCCAGGAGAGCACACUUAGCUCGUUUGCUGCCAGGCCCUCCACACACUCUGCACUCUUUAGAGCCACCUGCCAGUUCUCUCCCUUCUGAGACCCUAGUAUUUUGUGGUUAGCGCUACGAAACUGUGUCCCUAAGGCUCCUUGCCAGUCGCCACUGAAGACUUCUCAGCCUAAAGAGCCCUUGGCCAAAGUCCCCACCCACCGCCCCUGCCGCGCGCCAUUGAGCCCCCGCGCCGCAGACCUUGAGGUCCUGCUCCAGGCUGCGCAACAGCUCCCCGUCGAUUUCCCCGGUCUGGGCGUAGCGGAGCCUUUUGCGCUCGGCUUUGCGGAGGCGGUACUGCAGGAUCCGGCAGUUUUUGUUGGCUCUCUCCAACUCGUGGCGCAUUUCCUGCAGUUGACAGGCAUCCUCCUCGAAGAAAGUGUCCCUCAUCUCGUCCAUCUCGGUUCUCAGCUCAUCGAUCUCGUUCUGAGGCGGUGACAGGCCGCGUGUCAAAAUCAAACUCGCUUCCAGCCCUUCCGACACACACCGUACACACCCCAUUCCAAUUCCAAAUUCUCAGCUUUAAUUGCCCUCUCUCUCCACGAGACAGGAGUGACAAGGAGCUGAGUACAGAAGAGGAAACUGGGGGAAAAAGGCCCACUUUAGGCCCUCUCUCGUUCUCUUACUCUACCUCUCUCCAGGAAGAAGUGUGACAAACCAUUAUAAUUAGAGAAACGGA